AUUGAACGCUGGCGGCAUGCUUUACACAUGCAAGUCGAACGGUAACAGGCCGCAAGGUGCUGACGAGUGGCGAACGGGUGAGUAAUGCAUCGGAACGUGCCCAGUCGUGGGGGAUAACGCAGCGAAAGCUGCGCUAAUACCGCAUACGAUCUAGGGAUGAAAGCGGGGGACCGUAAGGCCUCGCGCGAUUGGAGCGGGCGAUGUCCGAUUAGGUAGUUGGUGGGGUAAAGGCCCACCAAGCCAACGAUCUGUAGCUGGUCUGAGAGGACGACAAGCCACACUGGAACUGAGACACGGCCCAGACUCCUACGGGAGGCAGCAGUGGGGAAUUUUGGACAAUGGGCGCAAGCCUGAUCCAGCAAUGCCGCGUGCAGGAAGAAGGCCUUCGGGUUGUAAACUGCUUUUGUACGGAACGAAACGGUUCUCUCUAAUACAGGGGGCUAAUGACGGUACCGUAAGAAUAAGCACCGGCUAACUACGUGCCAGCCGCCGCCGUAAAAC
rnacentral:rRNA from 1 species